rnacentral:rRNA from 1 species
CGGGAAUUUUGCGCAAUGGAGGAAACUCUGACGCAGUGACGCCGCGUAUAGGAAGAAGGUUUUCGGAUUGUAAACUAUUUUAGUCAGGGAAGAAAAAUGACAGUACCUGAAGAAUAAGCUCCGGCUAACUACGUGCCAGCAGCCGCGGUAAUACGUAGGGAGCAAGCGUUAUCCGGAUUUAUUGGGUGUAAAGGGUGCGUAGACGGGAAGACAAGUUGGUUGUGAAAGCCCUCGGCUCAACUGAGGAACUGCAACCAAAACUAUCAUUCUUGAGUGCGGGAGAGGAAAGUGGAAUUCCUAGUGUAGCGGUGAAAUGCGUAGAUAUUAGGAGGAACACCAGUGGCGAAGGCGACUUUCUGGACCGUAACUGACGUUGAGGCACGAAAGUGUGGGGAGCAAACAGGAUUAGAUACCCUGGUAGUCCACACCGUAAACGAUGGAUACUAGGUGUAGGGAACGAUAUGUUUUCUGUGCCGAAAGCAAACGCAAUAAGUAUCCCACCUGGGGAGUACGGCCGCAAGGUUGAAACUCAAAGGAAUUGACGGGGGCCCGCACAAGCAGUGGAGUAUGUGGUUUAAUUCGAAGCAACGCGAAGAACCUUACCAGGGCUUGACAUAUACAGGAAUACUUAAGAAAUUAGGUAGUCUUUCGAGACUUGUAUACAGGUGGUGCAUGGUUGUCGUCAGCUCGUGUCGUGAGAUGUUGGGUUAAGUCCCGCAACGAGCGCAACCCUUAUGGUCAGUUACUACGCAAGAGGACUCUGGCCAGACUGCCGUUGACAAAACGGAGGAAGGUGGGGAUGACGUCAAAUCAUCAUGCCCUUUAUGACUUGGGCUACACACGUACUACAAUGGCGUUAAACAAAGAGAAGCAAGACCGCGAGGUGGAGCAAAACUCAGAAACAACGUCCCAGUUCGGACUGCAGGCUGCAACUCGCCUGCACGAAGUCGGAAUUGCUAGUAAUCGUGGAUCAGCAUGCCACGGUGAAUACGUUCCC